UCAUGUAUUGUGGAGGGGAGA
rnacentral:miRNA from 2 species